GCUCCGAUGGCCUAGUGGUUAGAGCGUCCUCUUCGGAUGCUGGGGGUCGUGGGUUAGAUCCCCGGUCGAGUCA